rnacentral:rRNA from 1 species
GGGUUGUGAGGUUAAGCGACUAAGCGUACACGGUGGAUGCCCUGGCAGUCAGAGGCGAUGAAGGGCGUGCUAAUCUGCGAUAAGCGCCGGUAAGGUGAUAUGAACCGUUAUAACCGGCGAUACCCGAAUGGGGAAACCCAGUGUGACUCGUCACACUAUCAUUAACUGAAUCCAUAGGUUAAUGAGGCGAACCGGGGGAACUGAAACAUCUAAGUACCCCGAGGAAAAGAAAUCAACCGAGAUUCCCCCAGUAGCGGCGAGCGAACGGGGAGGAGCCCAGAGCCUGAAUCAGCAUGUGUGUUAGUGGAAGCGUCUGGAAAGGCGCGCGAUACAGGGUGACAGCCCCGUACACAAAAGCGCAUGUGCUGUGAGCUCGAUGAGUAGGGCGGGACACGUGGUAUCCUGUCUGAAUAUGGGGGGACCAUCCUCCAAGGCUAAAUACUCCUGACUGACCGAUAGUGAACCAGUACCGUGAGGGAAAGGCGAAAAGAACCCCGGCGAGGGGAGUGAAAAAGAACCUGAAACCGUGUACGUACAAGCAGUGGGAGCCCCACCACUAAGCCAGUGGUGAACUCCACAUACGCAUCCUUUGCUGAGAAUACGGUUAACGGAGCGAAAGCGACGUUCAACCUCAAAAGAAGCAGAGGGGGCUUAGUGGUGGGGUGACUGCGUACCUUUUGUAUAAUGGGUCAGCGACUUAUAUUCUGUAGCAAGGUUAACCGUAUAGGGGAGCCGUAGGGAAACCGAGUCUUAACCGGGCGUUAAGUUGCAGGGUAUAGACCCGAAACCCGGUGAUCUAGCCAUGGGCAGGUUGAAGGUUGGGUAACACUAACUGGAGGACCGAACCGACUAAUGUUGAAAAAUUAGCGGAUGACCUGUGGCUGGGGGUGAAAGGCCAAUCAAACCGGGAGAUAGCUGGUUCUCCCCGAAAGCUAUUUAGGUAGCGCCUCGUGAAUUCAUCUCCGGGGGUAGAGCACUGUUUCGGCUAGGGGGCCAUCCCGGCUUACCAACCCGAUGCAAACUGCGAAUACCGGAGAAUGUUAUCACGGGAGACACACGGCGGGUGCUAACGUCCGUCGUGAAGAGGGAAACAACCCAGACCGCCAGCUAAGGUCCCAAAGUCAUGGUUAAGUGGGAAACGAUGUGGGAAGGCCCAGACAGCCAGGAUGUUGGCUUAGAAGCAGCCAUCAUUUAAAGAAAGCGUAAUAGCUCACUGGUCGAGUCGGCCUGCGCGGAAGAUGUAACGGGGCUAAACCAUGCACCGAAGCUGCGGCAGCGAACGUAUCACUUAAAGCGAUUCAGCGGGUUACGAUUGACGGAGCGAAGCGACGUCAAAGCGUAUACAAAGUCGAGUCGGUUUAAGGAUACGUUCGUUGGGUAGGGGAGCGUUCUGUAAGCCUGCGAAGGUGGCCUGUGAGGGUUGCUGGAGGUAUCAGAAGUGCGAAUGCUGACAUAAGUAACGAUAAAGCGGGUGAAAAGCCCGCUCGCCGGAAGACCAAGGGUUCCUGUCCAACGUUAAUCGGGGCAGGGUGAGUCGACCCCUAAGGCGAGGCCGAAAGGCGUAGUCGAUGGGAAACGGGUUAAUAUUCCCGUACUUGGUGUUACUGCGAAGGGGGGACGGAGAAGGCUAUGUUGGCCGGGCGACGGUUGUCCCGGUUUAAGCGUGUAGGUGUGUGUUCCAGGUAAAUCCGGUUCACUUUAACACUGAGGCGUGACGACGAGGCACUACGGUGCUGAAGCAACAAAUGCCCUGCUUCCAGGAAAAGCCUCUAAGCAUCAGGUAACAUCAAAUCGUACCCCAAACCGACACAGGUGGUCAGGUAGAGAAUACCAAGGCGCUUGAGAGAACUCGGGUGAAGGAACUAGGCAAAAUGGUGCCGUAACUUCGGGAGAAGGCACGCUGACACGUAGGUGAAGUGAUUUACUCAUGGAGCUGAAGUCAGUCGAAGAUACCAGCUGGCUGCAACUGUUUAUUAAAAACACAGCACUGUGCAAACACGAAAGUGGACGUAUACGGUGUGACGCCUGCCCGGUGCCGGAAGGUUAAUUGAUGGGGUCAGCGCAAGCGAAGCUCCUGAUCGAAGCCCCGGUAAACGGCGGCCGUAACUAUAACGGUCCUAAGGUAGCGAAAUUCCUUGUCGGGUAAGUUCCGACCUGCACGAAUGGCGUAAUGAUGGCCAGGCUGUCUCCACCCGAGACUCAGUGAAAUUGAACUCGCUGUGAAGAUGCAGUGUACCCGCGGCAAGACGGAAAGACCCCGUGAACCUUUACUAUAGCUUGACACUGAACAUUGAGCCUUGAUGUGUAGGAUAGGUGGGAGGCUUUGAAGUGUGGACGCCAGUCUGCAUGGAGCCGACCUUGAAAUACCACCCUUUAAUGUUUGAUGUUCUAACGUAGACCCGUGAUCCGGGUUGCGGACAGUGUCUGGUGGGUAGUUUGACUGGGGCGGUCUCCUCCUAAAGAGUAACGGAGGAGCACGAAGGUUGGCUAAUCCUGGUCGGACAUCAGGAGGUUAGUGCAAUGGCAUAAGCCAGCUUGACUGCGAGCGUGACGGCGCGAGCAGGUGCGAAAGCAGGUCAUAGUGAUCCGGUGGUUCUGAAUGGAAGGGCCAUCGCUCAACGGAUAAAAGGUACUCCGGGGAUAACAGGCUGAUACCGCCCAAGAGUUCAUAUCGACGGCGGUGUUUGGCACCUCGAUGUCGGCUCAUCACAUCCUGGGGCUGAAGUAGGUCCCAAGGGUAUGGCUGUUCGCCAUUUAAAGUGGUACGCGAGCUGGGUUUAGAACGUCGUGAGACAGUUCGGUCCCUAUCUGCCGUGGGCGCUGGAGAACUGAGGGGGGCUGCUCCUAGUACGAGAGGACCGGAGUGGACGCAUCACUGGUGUUCGGGUUGUCAUGCCAAUGGCACUGCCCGGUAGCUAAAUGCGGAAGAGAUAAGUGCUGAAAGCAUCUAAGCACGAAACUUGCCCCGAGAUGAGUUCUCCCUGAGACUUAGAGUCUCCUGAAGGAACGUUGAAGACGACGACGUUGAUAGGCCGGGUGUGUAAGCGCAGCGAUGCGUUGAGCUAACCGGUACUAAUGAACCGUGAGGCUUAACCUUACAACGCCGAAG